rnacentral:rRNA from 1 species
UGGGGAAUUUUGGACAAUGGGGGCAACCCUGAUCCAGCAAUGCCGCGUGUGUGAAGAAGGCCUUCGGGUUGUAAAGCACUUUUGUCCGGAAAGAAAACGUCGUGGUUAAUACCCGUGGCGGCUGACGGUACCGGAAGAAUAAGCACCGGCUAACUACGUGCCAGCAGCCGCGGUAAUACGUAGGGUGCAAGCGUUAAUCGGAAUUACUGGGCGUAAAGCGUGCGCAGGCGGUUCCGCUAAGACAGAUGUGAAAUCCCCGGGCUUAACCUGGGAACUGCAUUUGUGACUGGCGGGCUAGAGUAUGGCAGAGGGGGGUAGAAUUCCACGUGUAGCAGUGAAAUGCGUAGAGAUGUGGAGGAAUACCGAUGGCGAAGGCAGCCCCCUGGGCCAAUACUGACGCUCAUGCACGAAAGCGU